rnacentral:rRNA from 1 species
AACGAACGCUGGCGGCAUGCCUAACACAUGCAAGUCGAACGAGACCUUCGGGUCUAGUGGCGCACGGGUGAGUAACGCGUGGGAACCUGCCCUUAGGUUCGGAAUAACUCCCCGAAAGGGGUGCUAAUACCGGAUAAUGUCUUCGGACCAAAGAUUUAUCGCCUUUGGAUGGGCCCGCGUUGGAUUAGCUAGUUGGUAGGGUAAAAGCCUACCAAGGCGACGAUCCAUAGCUGGUCUGAGAGGAUGAUCAGCCACACUGGGACUGAGACACGGCCCAGACUCCUACGGGAGGCAGCAGUGGGGAAUAUUGGACAAUGGGCGAAAGCCUGAUCCAGCAAUGCCGCGUGAGUGAUGAAGGCCUUAGGGUUGUAAAGCUCUUUUACCUGGGAUGAUAAUGACAGUACCGGGAGAAUAAGCUCCGGCUAACUACGUG